rnacentral:rRNA from 1 species
UACAGAGGGGGUUAGCGUUGUUCGGAAUUACUGGGCGUAAAGCGCACGUAGGCGGAUAUUUAAGUCAGGGGUGAAAUCCCGGGGCUCAACCCCCGGAACUGCCUUUGAUACUGGGUAUCUCGAGUCCGAGAGAGGUGAGUGGAAUUCCGAGUGUAGAGGUGAAAUUCGUAGAUAUUCGGAGGAACACCAGUGGCGAAGGCGGCCAUCUGGACAGAUAUUGACGCUGAGGUGCGAAAGCGUGGGGAGCAAACAGGG